rnacentral:rRNA from 1 species
AUACGUAGGUGACAAGCGUUAUCCGGAUUUACUGGGCGUAAAGGGCGUGUAGGCGGUCUUGCAAGUCAGAAGUGAAAGUCCUCUGCUCAACGGAGGAAGUGCCUUCCGAACUGUCCGACUGGAAUGCUCCUGCCGUGGGAGGAAUGUGUGGUGUAGCGGUGAAAUGCAUAGAGAUCACACAGAACACCGAUUGCGAAGGCAUCUCACGAAGGGGCUAUUGACGCUGAGGCACGAAAGCGUGGGGAUCAAACAGGAUUAGAUACCCUGGUAGUCCACGCAGUAAACGAUGAUGACUAACCGUCGGUCAAGACUGAUCGGUGGCCAAGCGAAAGCGAUAAGUCAUCCACCUGGGGAGUACGACCGCAAGGUUGAAACUCAAAUGAAUUGGCGGGG